AAGCUAAAUGGUUCUGCCAUGCAGCGGUGUGGCGUUAGAAGUGCCCAAUCUGUGAGUGCACGACGAUCUAAAUUUCGCUGGAACGCGGUUGCAGAGAUGGUUUUACACCAGUCUGGUCGUUGUGCCUUGCAGAGUAGGUGCUUUAGGAGUCGAGUUGUUUGGAAACGCAGCUCAAAGCGGGUGGUAAACUUCACCUAAAGCUAAAUAUGGCUACGAGACCGAUAGCAAACAAGUACUGUGAAGGAAAGUUGAAAAGCACUUUGAAAAGAGAGUGCAAGAGAACGUGAAACCGUUAUAGUGGAAGCGGAUGGAGCCGACGUAUCCGGUAUGUAUUCAGCCGCUAGUCAGUGCAUUCCACUUGUUUAAGGUUCUGCAAAGUCCUUGGCAGGUGAGGAUGUGUUGGUGAACGGUGCAUUUGCAUACAGAGUGCGCCGAAUCGGUCGAGCACGCCGUUGGAAGGUCAAAAAGAGGACUGGCUUGCCAGAAACCUGGUUGACACAAAGGCGGUUGGGCUUGGCUGUAAAAGGGGCUGGUGAAUUCGUGGUUAGUUGGAAGUGGCUGGGCUGUCUAAAUGCGACACAUGUGUUUCGUUUUCACAGCCUUUUCGUUUCUAGUUGACUGCUCUGCCUCACAUUCGGUGUCUAGUCGGUCACCCAUUUGACCCGUCUUGAAACACGGACCAAGGAGUUUAAGGUGUGCGCAAGUCAAUAGGCUCAGUGUAAACCUAUAGGCGUAAUGAAAGUGGGCUACUUAGUGGCUGUAGUGCGACGGGUUGUUUUUUCGAAGACUGCCCAGCAGCAUUGACCCAUGACUGGAACUUGUUCUGUUGUGGAGUCCGAGCGUACGCUUUGAGACCCGAAAGAUGGUGAACUAUGCCUGAACAGGACGAAGUCAGAGGAAACUCUGAUGGAAGUCCGAAGCGGUUCUGACGUGCAAAUCGAUCGUCU
rnacentral:rRNA from 1 species